AUGGCGCAGUCUGAUGGAGCAACGCCGCGUGAGUGAAGAAGGUUUUCGGAUCGUAAAGCUCUGUUGUUGGUGAAGAAGGAUAGAGGUAGUAACUGGCCUUUAUUUGAACGGUAAUCAACCAGAAAGUCACGGCUAACUACGUGCCAGCAGCCGCGGUAAUA
rnacentral:rRNA from 1 species